GGUAAAAUGGCUGAGGUUAAAUAGGUAGUAGAUUGUAAAUCUAUUUAGGGGAUAUUAUUUCUCUUUUACCA
rnacentral:tRNA from 1 species